CCCGCGGCGCCUGCACCCCGGCCGCGCGCCCCCCCAGCGCGGGGCUUCUUUGCCUCAACUCCAGCAUCACUUGACCCCAGGGAGGGGCAGAAAAAGUUUGGAAGGAAGCGCCACGUGUCGCGAGGAAACAGGCGGUUUGUCCUCAGUGGCAAGACGGGGACCUCGCGGCCAGGGCUCUGCUCCAACCCCGAUCCCUUGCUCUGGGGAAGCCAGCCACCAUGUGGUGAGGACACUCAAGCAGCCCUAUGAUUCAGGCCACAUGAGGAGGAACUCAGCUUUCUGCCAGCUUACCAGCCAUUGGAAUGAACCAUCUGGGAAUGGUUCAAGCCUCUAGUGCCAUUUUCAGAUGAAAGCAGUCUUCACGAGAAAUCCUCAGUUGGAGCCACCCAGCCACUCCCAAAUUCUUGAUCCACAGAAGCCAUCAGAGAUCAUAGAGUGUAUUGUUGCUAUAAGCUACUACUUUCAGGGUAAGUCACUCCGUGGCAAUAGAGAACUAGUAUAUCUGCCUUGAAGAUCAUCUGUGGGACUGACUUCAUGGUUUUAUAGGAUGCUGGAAAUGAAUGAAUACAUGGAAAACACUUAGAACUUGGCCUAGUACAUAGGAAGCACUCAAUAAAUGUUAGUUGGGUUGUUACCAUGGUUUGCUUUUCCAUUAUUGUCAUCAUCACUACCUUUCUUCCAAAGCAUCUAAGAUUCAGGCCUUUCAAAGUUCAAAAAGACCAUUUCACACCUGAAGAAGAGUUGGAACCAUCUGAAGGCGUAAAGAGACAGAACUAGUAAAAGGACUAAGGAAAAACUGUAUUUACAGGGAGUUUAUGGCAAACAAGGAGGUAUUUGCUUCAUUAAGCUUCGUGAAAACCAGGCAGAGGGGUAACAGAAGAAGCUCUACUUCCGGAGUCCCGUCCUCAGCGCACUUUCACAGGGGAUCCAUACUCCCUGUUCAGUGCUCCCCUCUUUCCUUCUUGUGAUUUCCCUUCUUCUCUCUUGUAUGUGAGGAGAACAGAAAUUCACUUGAGGAUGCAGCCAAGGAAGGCUUGCUCCACUCUGGACUGGAGUAGCUGGUGGAAGCUGCCUACUGAGAGACUCUGUGGCCAAAGACGACACUUUUUCUCUUCAAAAAAACACCACACACACACACAACAUACACACACACUAACCCCAACAUACAAUCAGGAGACCACAGAGUCAAGUGACUGAGGGAAUAGGCUUCAAGGUGGUUUGAUACACCUGAACUCUUAGUUCCCACCAUCUACUAGCUCUGUGAGGCUGAGAAAGUCACUUUAUUAGAGCCUCAGUGGCCUGAGAAAUGGGCAUAAUAGUCACACCUGCCUCCUAGAGCACUUGUCUGAAGCAAAAGGACCCUUACGCAUUCCCUUAGUCAUCUGACAAACAUUGAGAACUGGCUCUGUGGCAAGCACUGCUCGAGGCUCUGGAUUGCUGCAGUGAGCAAAACCAUGUCCCUGUCCUCAUGGAGCUCAUGGUCUAGUAGGGGAGGUGGAGACAUGUCAAAGUGAGCAACAACCACGUAGUAUAACACCUGGUAUCAUAAGGGUUAUGGGAAGCAUUUACGAGGGCUCCUAGGUCAGAGCUCUGAUUUCUUCAGUUCUUCUGACCUAGGACCUCCGUGUGAGGGAGAAGUAAUACCAGGAAAUGUGAAAGUGAAAGCUGCAAAAUUCUGUGGUAGGCAACCUCUCAGAUGACCCCUAAUGAUCCGACUUCCUCCUAUUUGCACUCUUGGUUCAUCCCCUCCUUUGGGUACUGCUGGACCUAGUGACUCAGUUCUAGCAAACAGAAUACUGCCAAAUGUAUGGGAUGGUAUUUCCAAAAUUAGGUUACAAGAACACUUGGGAUCCCAUUUUCCACCCCUACCUUCUAUCUGUCUCUCUCUUCCUCUCCCCCUCUUGCUUACCAGCUGCCUUUUUGUGACCUGCCUUAUGCAAAGGUUCGAGUGGCCGGGAACUGUAAAGACCUUCAGCCAACACCCAGUGACGAAUUAAGGCCCUGAACCCAUCAGUCCAGAAAGAACUAAAUCUUGCCAAUAAUGACGUAAGUGAGUGUAGAAGAUCUUCCCCUAGUCAAGCCUUCAGAUGACACCACAGCUCUAGCUGACAGCUCAACCACCAUAAACACCGAGUCUGUGAACACUUAACAUCGUUGCCUCUCACCUGGUAGUCUGAGGAAGGCAGUGUGAGAGAACCACCACUAACCAAGCGUCUGUUUCCAACAUCAUACAUUUAUGAUCACGUUUAUCUUCACAACAACCUCUGAGUUAGAUGUUAUAAUCCUCUUUGCACAGAUGGGGAAUAUGAGGCCCCAAGAAUCCAAGUGACAGGCCCAAAAUAACCCAGGGAAGACUGAGAUUCAAAGCCAGAUCCUUUUGAUUCCAAAGAAUUUCCACAAACACCACACUGAACCUUCCUGCCUUCUGUAACAACGACAACAAAAAAAUCCCCAAUUCAUAAAACCCAGAAUGUGUUUGCAGCUUGAAAGAUACUGCAUUCACUGGGUUUAGAGCUAGAAAGGUAAAGAUGCCCAGCACAUCAAAUAGAAGUUGAUUCAUUAUGUGAUACAAUUCAACUCUUAGAGAACUUUUCUGGAUGCAUCUAAUUAUUGUAGUUUCCCACCCCCCAAAUGCUGAGCAGAGGAGUUCGCUCAACUAGAAAUUAAAGUCAUCCAGUGCUGCCAAAUGUGUGUAUAUAUAUACAUAUAUAUGUGUGUAUAUAUAUUCAUUUUUUAAAAUUACCAGACUAAUCUACAGAAAAAGCCUGCUGAGAACCAACAGAAUUCUUGUAAUUCAUGUUUAAUAUAGUCACUAGCUUACAAGAAGAGAGAUCUACUGACAUUUACUAAUGAAAAUGUUGCAUCAUCAGAAAGGAUGAAAUUUUUACCCCUCAUUAAAAAAAAAAAAAAAACCAACAA